AUUGCAAAUAUGUGGUCUUUAGAAAAGACCAGAAGAACAAGAACUAAAUCACAGCAAAAAUAAGAACUAAAAUCAAGAACAAAGACCUAUAAUAAUAGCAAAAGAGCAAGAACAAGAACUAAAAAAAUUAAAAAAAUCACAGCAAGACCAAGAACUGAACAACAAGUAAUCAACCAAGGCAGCCAUUAUAAACCAACAACAUAAAUUAAGUGAAAGAAAAUUAUUCUCCAAACACCAACUAACCAAGGCAGCCAAAAUUGAACAAUUAACAGCAAACACAGCCAUGAUU